GCCGAUGAAGGACGUUACUAACGACGAUAUGCUUUGGGGAGCUGUAAGUAAGCUUUGAUCCAGAGAUUUCCGAAUGGGGAAACCCAGCAUGAGUUAUGUCAUGUUAUCGAUAUGUGAAUACAUAGCAUAUCAGAAGGCACACCCGGAGAACUGAAACAUCUUAGUACCCGGAGGAAGAGAAAGAAAAUUCGAUUCCCUUAGUAGCGGCGAGCGAAACGGGAAGAGCCCAAACCAACAAGCUUGCUUGUUGGGGUUGUAGGACACUCUAUACGGAGUUACAAAGGACGACAUUAGACGAAUCAUCUGGAAAGAUGAAUCAAAGAAGGUAAUAAUCCUGUAGUCGAAAAUGUUGUCUCUCUUGAGUGGAUCCUGAGUACGACGGAGCACGUGAAAUUCCGUCGGAAUCUGGGAGGACCAUCUCCUAAGGCUAAAUACUCUCUAGUGACCGAUAGUGAACCAGUACCGUGAGGGAAAGGUGAAAAGCACCCCGGAAGGGGAGUGAAAUAGAACCUGAAACCGUGUGCUUACAAGUAGUCAGAGCCCGUUAAUGGGUGAUGGCGUGCCUUUUGUAGAAUGAACCGGCGAGUUACGAUUUGAUGCAAGGUUAAGCAGUAAAUGUGGAGCCGUAGCGAAAGCGAGUCUGAAUAGGGCGUUUAGUAUUUGGUCGUAGACCCGAAACCAGGUGAUCUACCCUUGGUCAGGUUGAAGUUCAGGUAACACUGAAUGGAGGACCGAACCGACUUACGUUGAAAAGUGAGCGGAUGAACUGAGGGUAGCGGAGAAAUUCCAAUCGAACCUGGAGAUAGCUGGUUCUCUCCGAAAUAGCUUUAGGGCUAGCCUCAAGUGAUGAUUAUUGGAGGUAGAGCACUGUUUGGACGAGGGGCCCCUCUCGGGUUACCGAAUUCAGACAAACUCCGAAUGCCAAUUAAUUUAACUUGGGAGUCAGAACAUGGGUGAUAAGGUCCGUGUUCGAAAGGGAAACAGCCCAGACCACCAGCUAAGGUCCCAAAAUAUAUGUUAAGUGGAAAAGGAUGUGGCGUUGCCCAGACAACUAGGAUGUUGGCUUAGAAGCAGCCAUCAUUUAAAGAGUGCGUAAUAGCUCACUAGUCGAGUGACACUGCGCCGAAAAUGUACCGGGGCUAAACAUAUUACCGAAGCUGUGGAUUGUCCUUUGGACAAUGGUAGGAGAGCGUUCUAAGGGCGUUGAAGCAUGAUCGUAAGGACAUGUGGAGCGCUUAGAAGUGAGAAUGCCGGUGUGAGUAGCGAAAGACGGGUGAGAAUCCCGUCCACCGAUUGACUAAGGUUUCCAGAGGAAGGCUCGUCCGCUCUGGGUUAGUCGGGUCCUAAGCUGAGGCCGACAGGCGUAGGCGAUGGAUAACAGGUUGAUAUUCCUGUACCACCUAUAAUCGUUUUAAUCGAUGGGGGGACGCAGUAGGAUAGGCGAAGCGUGCGAUUGGAUUGCACGUCUAAGCAGUAAGGCUGAGUAUUAGGCAAAUCCGGUACUCGUUAAGGCUGAGC
rnacentral:rRNA from 1 species